rnacentral:rRNA from 1 species
GUCCUUUUGAAUAUGAUUUAAGGUCUNGUCUGCUCAAUGAUUAAUUAAAUAGCUGCAGUAUUUUGACUGUACAAAGGUAGCAUAAUCAUUAGUUUUUUAAUUGAAAGCUUGUAUGAAUGGCUGGAUGAGAAAAAAACUGUCUAUCUAGAAUUUAGUAAGAAUUUUAUUUUUAAGUUAAAAAGCUUAAAUAAUAUUAAAAGACGAGAAGACCCUAUAGAGUUUAAUUAAAUUUAUAUUCAUUUAAUUUUAGAAUUUUAUUUUUAAAAAUAUAAAAUUUAAUUUGAUUGGGGUGAUCUUAAAAUUUAAUAAACUUUUAUAAUUUUUUAACAUUGAUUUAUGAUUAUAUGAUCCAUUAUUAGUGAUUAAUAGAUUAAAUUACCUUAGGGAUAACAGCGUAAUUUUUUUGGAGAGUUCUUAUUGAUAAAAAAGAUUGCGACCUCGAUGUUGGAUUAAAAUUAACAAUUGGCGCAGAAGUUAAUUUGUUGGGUCUGUUCGACCUUUAAAAUUUUACGUGAUC